GAUGAACGCUGGCGGCGUGCUUAACAUAUGCAAGUCGAGCGAAGCGAUUUUAAGGAAGCCUUCGGGUGGAAUUAAAAUUGACUUAGCGGCGGACGGGUGAGUAACGCGUGGGUAAACUGCCUCAUACAGGGGCAUACCAGCUAGAAAUGACUGCUAAUACCGCAUAAGCGCACAGUGCUGCUUAGCACAGUGUGAAUAACCCCGGUGGGAUGGGAUGGACCAGCGCCGGGUUAGGUAGUUGGUGAGGUCACGGCCCCCCAAGCCGACGAUCAGUAGCCGACCUGAGAGGGUGACCGGCAACAUUGGGGCUGAGACACGGCCCAAACUCCUACGGGAGGCAGCGGUGGGGAAUAUUGGACAAUGGGGAAACCCUGAUCUAGCGACGCCGCGUGACUGAAGAAGUAUUUCGGUAUGUAAAGGUCUAUCAGGAGGGAAGAAAAUGACGGUACCUGACUAAGAAGCCCCGGCUAACUACGUGCCAGCCGCCGCCGUAA
rnacentral:rRNA from 1 species